rnacentral:lncRNA from 1 species
ACAAUUUUGCUUAUUUCUGUUUUCACCUUCUUCUUCACUCUUUUUAAUUUCUUUUGAUCUCCAAGGUCUAUCACUAAUUUUCAAGCAUCCAGUCAAGGUAAUUUUCUGUCAUUUGCUUCAUUCAUGACUAUACAAUGAUUGUUUUUAUUAUCAGCUACUGUUAUAGCAGCUAGCUUUGUAAGAUAGUCAAGGUAAUAAGAUCUGAAGCAAUGAUUCCUCUACUGAUUAUCAAUUUUAAGACGUACAGGAUGAUCAGCAGACAUAGUCUACUAUAGAUACAAAUUAAUACGAAAAGAGCUACCCAGAAGCAAUAUAAUGUUGAAAUCUCAUGCUGUUGGAACAUUUUACCUCUUAAUAUUCUGUAAUGCUCUUGCACACUUGAAUCUAGCAUGUUAUAUAGUUUGAGAGGUUGAUUCUGGAUAUACAAUGGUGACCAGAAUUUCAUCAUGUUUCUGCCUGCUACCCAUCCAUAGCUCCAUCUAAUAGACGCCAUUGCUUGAAACUUGCAUUCAUGCUUACACUCACAUAUCACAACUUCAUAAAAAAUCCAAUACAUUCACAGAUUUUCAAUGAUUUUGUUUUGAUGUCCAAGGUCUAUCACAAAAUUUCAAGCAUCCUGUCAAG